GGCAGGCGCUCAGUCUGGGUUGCCACAGUGUUUUUGGCAAGAGCCUUCAGCCUGGUGGAGGCCAUGUCUGUAUUUGUUGCGAGGCAGGCAGCCAGUGGGUGAGCAGGUCUCCUGAGUGUUGAGGAAUACUCCGCCUGCCCUGCCGCAACAACUACUUCGCCACGCCAUGCCCUGAUUGACACGCCGCGUUCUGCAGGGGCUGCCAUUUUAUGAUGAAGGGGGGCGAUCCUUGCUCUGCCCAGGCCUUGUCAGCCUUCCUCGCGAGGGCUACUGGGUCCUGGUGGUUCCCUCGAGGGGCCUUGAUGUAAGGAGCCCCCUGCAUGCUGUGAUCCCCCACUCCUCUGCAGAACAUGUCUGCAGAGUGAUCACCUCAGCGAGUGAUCAUAGUAACUACGUUGUAAGUAUGGAGAAUACUGAAGUGAAAGACUGUCUUCAUUCAUUCUUGCCCUGAAGAUUUUGCUGCCUAAUGGCUGAGCUUUAAAGAUGGAGACAUCAGCCAAAACUCCAGGUAUGACUGGGCCUCUGGACACCACA
rnacentral:lncRNA from 1 species